rnacentral:rRNA from 1 species
CAUACAAUGUAGCUUCUGCAUUUACGCCCGAUGCGCUAGAAAGAGCCUUCUGCGUGCGGUAUACCAUCGUGGCGUUCCUUAAACGAGAUCCUAAAAAAGACACGGGAGGAGGGGGAACGAGGGCUGGAGCCGGGAGGGUAGCAGCGGCUGGUGGAGUAGGUGGCGGCGUCCGGUUUGAGGCUGAGUCAUGUUGACUCGGGAUUGGCUAUGACAGGAUCGCGGCCGGGCUAGAGCAACGGAGGUCCCUCGCGUACCCCGAUGCGACAACUCCGAACGGUCACGGGGUGCCACCGCGCGCGGCUCCGGCACCUUUCGUCUUCGUCGGCGUCUUAGGCGCUCGACUAGGUGCUCGGGGCUCCAUAGGCGUGAAGGACUCAGCGUCGUCGCGCUCCUCCCCACUGUCUACCUGCUCAAGCUCUCGCCGCUAUUCCCUUAGCGGCCCGGGCGGGGCCCGGGGCCGCGACCGCUGCUGCCGUUGAGACGCGGCGAGGGACUCUGCCACGUUUAACCUUUAAGUGGUUGGAUAUUCGAACCUUCCUUCGAACCUUUCCCACCUAAACCUGUUCAUAUACAACCAGCUGCACAAAGGAGAGGGUCAGAACCACUAUCUUUGGGACCACGUUUACGAAACCUCCAACGUAAUUUCAAACUUGUAGCUUGAUCGUUUCCAACGUUAAUACCUCGAGGUAGACUCACCGUCCAAAUGUUGUGAGAAUCACCUUUAGUACCACAGGGUGCCCAUGUGAUGUUUCCUUUCGUCCCGCUCAAAAUGUAGUACCAAUACCUAUACAACCCUGGUUCGGACACCCUACAAACCUUAUUAUUAAGGGUAAGCUACAGACAACUUUACCAACGGACGUAUCGAUAUCUUCGGUAGAGGUAUGACCUUUUCUACGUGAGUUUUCCCAUACAGGUACCACUACACUUUGGACUCUUGAAAGACGAACCAGGCACACCAUGGGACCUUCUCUUCUUUGAAAAAGAACAACUAGAACCUGACCGAUGCUUUACCUUCCCACGACCAUUGCCCGUGUAACUUAUGCUGGUCUCCGGACUACAUAAAUCCCCUUGACAAGCAAUACGAUCACACGUACGAGUGAACCCUUCUUGACCUUCAUCCUCUCUACUGGAACUUAGGGAGCGGAUGUGUGAAUAAAAAGAAGAGGCACCUGCGGAUGGAACCGUUCCUAUGGUCCCUCUGUUGUUUCCAAAAGAACAGUCGUUCUUUUUCUACCGCUGGAGAGGACUUAGAGACACACCGUAAACAGGUGUCAGAAAAGCUGUGAAACAACUCAUACAACACUUGAACUUCAAACUGCUUCUUGGAUUAAUGCGGUUCACGUAGAGAGAAAAACUGCCGUAACAACCAGGUGUAGGUCUGUGGUCUGGUUAUUUGUGUCUACCACGAGUCUUCGAUUAUAUAGUCCAGCCAGUCUUCGCCCCGGCGGAGUAUCGUCUCCUUCUACUACUCGUUGGAUUCUUCUUCUAAUCUUACCCUUACGGUCGCUGAGUCACCUAAUCACAGAUGUCACGGGCCGCCGGAUACUUUGUCUCCAUGGUGAUAUUACAACGUCUACUAUCUAAUCAUGUUGUAUAAGACUUUCCUUUACUUCUACCGAACAAAUAUUCAAGUCAAAGGAGAAGGCGUUUAGACACCCGAAAUUAUUACCUACGACCGUGACCAAAAUGACGAGUUCAUAUACUUUAAAGAGUUGUAAAGGAAGUGUUCCUUACCUAGGACCUCGUCACCCUCUCUUUAAUGAUAUAGUGACGUAACCGACCACGCUUAUCACCUUCAAGAAAUCACUAGUACAGUUCUCCUUGUUGCAUACGUGUUGUUAGGAUAUUUCAUUCACUACGUAAAGGUAAGUUUACCUAUUUGUUUUUCACCUUCCUCCCGAAGAUACAGUGUAGGUACCGAUGUCGACCUUCAGCUACCCGUCAACAGUACAGGGCUUUACGACCAAAGAGUCUGGUCCAUCACCUCGACCUAAAGAAUAUAGGUUCACUCCCGUAGGUAGUUGCGACCCUAUUACCAAUAGCGUAGUGACGUUGUCGACGGUGUAACCUGGUCCGCCGUAAAUAGAACUCGUAUGGAUCUGCUUUUGGAUUACUACUUUGUGUCCUCUGCGAUUCUUGUAGACGAAAGGGCUCGGUCGUACACUUCCUUUUUACCAGUUUUUUAGACAUGAAUCGUAGGUAGACGAUACCUUCCCGCCGUAGAACUUUCGGGUAAAUGAUUUCAACCAAGAACUGACUGAACCAAGACGAAGAGAUCGAAAUCUGAACCAACACAUAUUGAAACUUGAUAGGUAUAGUAUUACAACAUAUUUGUUUCUUCACAUGAAUUAAUUCACAGUACAUAUAUUUAAAUUCAGACAAACAUGAAACUCUGCUGACCUAACUUUACCGAGAGCUCGUAAGCUGACUAAAUCGACAAGUACAAUGAGACCGGUCGACGACUCCUUUAAAAAGAUCAUGGUAUGUAAUUAAAUAAUAAAACUUAUCAUGUAAAAAUAACCUGACGUUAUCGGUCGCUGGCAAACGAACGGUCCUAUUGUAAACGCUUGCCGCGCCGACCGUCAAAAUCAAACCCUACCGUAAAACCGGUUUUUGUACCGUAAAGUAAAUAAAAUCACGUAAAAAGUAGACUUUUGACGAUGCCAGUCUAGAAAUAGGACACCGACAUUCACAUUCCCCCAGUCAGCGGUCUAUUGUAAGGACAAAAAUAAAACGGGUUUUGUACAACGUGGAAAAAAAACGG